rnacentral:rRNA from 1 species
UACCAGCUCUCCGAGUUGUAGGGAUGAUUAUUGGGCUUAAAGCGUCCGUAGCUGGCUUAGCAAGUCUCCUGUUAAAUUCAGCGACCUAAUCGUUGAGCCGCGGGAGAUACUACUAGGCUAGGAGGCGGGAGAGGUCGACGGUACUUUCGGGGUAGGGGUGAAAUCCUAUAAUCCCGGGAGGACCACCAGUGGCGAAGGCUGUCGACUAGAACGCGCUCGACGGUGAGGGACGAAAGCUGGGGGAGCGAACCGGAUUAGAUACCCGGGUAGUCCCAGCUGUAAACUAUGCGGGCUAGGUGUUGGGGUGGCUACGGGCCACUUCAGUGCCGCAGGAAAGCCAUUAAGCCCGCUGCCUGGGGAGUACGGCCGCAAGGCUGAAACUUAAAGGAAUUGGCGGGGGAGCACCACAAGGCGUGAAGCUUGCGGUUC